UCGUAGAACAAGGAACCUAUAGCCGCCAGUGCUGAAAAACGCAAGACUAGUUCCAGUACCGCGCGGUUAAACCAUCCUUUUUGUUUUGAAAUGGCAGCUUUUUACCUGCUAACUGUCACAUUUUGGCUAAUACUAAGAAAACUAUACCAAACCUAAGGCUAUAAUUUUCUUUAUGACUUCCUCAUUAUCAAAAAAAUCUGUCAUCUUUUGAACAGUAUGGUUUUAAUGCUGUACAGUUAGUCAAAUCAGCGACAACCUUUCGUACCUUUUCUCGAAUGUUUUAACACUACGAUUGUGCUUGUUUUCGGCACUAUCCCUAUAGCCAUUGUAAGUAAUCGUGUCUUCUCUCUUUAUCUGGAAUUGCCCGUGUUCCAGGUUUUUCCGUCAUGUCAGCAGGCUCAAACCAACUUUUCACAAGAGUUUGCAUCUGAUCGCAACUAAGCAGCUGAGUCCGAAGUGAAAAUGAUAGAUUUCUUGCUCGAAGUCAUUGCAAGCAAAGUCAGUGGGAAAACUUAACAUGUGUGGACCACAUGUGUCAAUGGCAACUGAGUCUCACGUGAGAAUGCUAGGUAAGCAAA